AGACAUCUGUACUACAAGGCACAAUGUUGUCUGCCUGUUGGGAGGAUGAGACAUCUGUACCACGAGGCACAAUGUUGUCUGCCUGUUGGGAGGAUGAGACAUCUGUACCACGAGGCACAGUGUUGGUUGUCUGACGGUAGGGUGUGAUCAUCUGCGACUUCAGAGUGCAGACAUCUGUACUACAAGGCACAAUGUUGGUUGAGGAUAAUGGAGACUAGGGUGUUAUAAAGUGUUUAGGUACAGUGUUUUAGGUGUAGAUAACCUUUUCUGAGGGGUCAUGCCCAGUGUAUAGUUACAUGCAUCUGUAAGUCUGUUGAUUGUGAUCUUGUCUAGAAGUUCUGGAGAGAAGGGGGGAUAGGGAUACUGUCUUUAAGGUUCUUCUUUGUGUUGUGGAAAGCUUUCAGUGAUUUGAGGGUGCCUUGUAACCAGUAGGUUACCUUCAAACGGGUUGUGGAACUGUUUAGUUUUCCAGUGCACAACUUAAAGGGACCAAUUAUGGAAAUAAAAUUUUUAUUUUAUUUAA